UGUGCUCCCUUUAUCUUUCCUGCACCCUUUUCUCUUCCCUGCAGCCCCAGGGUGUGCUCAGGACCAAGGAGGGCGAUUUAAUGAAGCACAGGGGCUCGUUCUAGGUGAACACGCUGAAUGGACAAGAACAGUUGGCUGUUGUAUAUGACUCUGAAGGUCACCAGAAUCAGAUGCUCAUUUUUCAGCUCCUCGUUGCUGCUGGGUGCAGCAGAGCUUUGUGCUGACACAGGCAGUUCCUGGCAAUGGGGCUGGAGUGGCACUGAGAGAAGAAAAUGCCACGAUUUGAAGGUUCUUGGUAGCGAGGCGACUGGAAAAAUGUGUAUUGGGUACAAAUUUGUCAGACUUUGGGGCUUCUUUUUAUUGCCUGACUUCUUAUUCUGAUGUCUCCUUGUUAUGAAUUCUGCUUUUCUGUUUUGAGAAGUGAAAAUAAUAAUCUCCCUUACUUCCUGUCCAAUGGGAAGGAAUGUCUUCAUCCUGGCCCAAGCUAAGCUGCAGAUGAGACCUGUUUUGGGAACUGCUAUGCAAAAGAAGAGGAAGAAGAAACAAACAAUUCUCUUUGAAAUGCAGUUUUAAUGGUUCCUUGGUAAUUCAUGCAAUUAUUUAAUCGGCUGCACCAUCCCUGGGAUUAUUAUUCUUCUCAGGUAAUAACUGGAGCAGUAAAGAUAUCUUGUAAAUUGAAAAAAAGAAGGAAAAAAAAAGGGAAUUGGCAGAUGUUGUUUGCAGUACUGCGUUUUAGUAAUUGUUUGAAAUGACCUUUUGGAAUCUCGGAGAGAAAAUUUGUUUGCUUGACUUUCUCCCAGAUCAGCUCCUGGCAAUCUCGAUAUAGAGCAAAACUGAGUUGUUUUGAGUUUUUAAAUUACAUUCUGACAGCAAAGCCUGUUUUUCUGUGUGCAUUACAUUUUUUUGCUUUUUUAAAGGUUAAGCUCUGUUUGACAGGAGUUCCAUAGAUGAAGUUUUUGAAACUUUUUGCUGUGGUUGUUUGCCUGGAUUUUUUUAAGCCAGAAUUGCUUAUCCUGGGUAUUAUUACAAAAUAAAUAUUUAUUUAUUUCUUAAUUUAAGGAGAAAAUUCUCACUAUAUUUUUGAAUGUCUAGGACGUGAUGAUGAAAGGUCUGUGGGUUUUUUGUUGGUUUUAUUUAUGGGUUUGCUUAGGGUUUGUGUUAUUUUGGUUUUGGGUUUUUUGCUUGCUUUUUUUGUCUUUUUCAGCUUUAGAGGUUGUAAUGUGAUGAGAUCAUAGAAUCUUUCCAGGUUUAGGGAAAGAAAAAAAAGAUUAUAAUUUUUUUUACAAAGUUUUAGCAGAGCUGUUGUGAAAUCUGGUUCCUCGAUGCCACUGGCUUGUGGUCAGAGCCCACUGUGGGUUUGAUUUGUAGGAAAAUGUCCAAUAUCUGAGGGCCUUGCUCCACACCAGCUCUGUGGAUGAGACCAAUGGUUCUUCCUUUUUCCCUUUCCAAAAUUCUGGCUUUUUCCACUUUAAAAUCUGACAACCCUCAGAGAGUGAAGGGUCAGAAAAACACAUUGUGUGAAAUCUCUCAGCAUUCAAGUUUUCACAUGAGAGCCCAUUGCUCUUUGUGUUUGCUGGAGCUGCACUUGUUGAGGCUGUGAGAGCCUGGUCCUCCAAAAACACCAAAGAAAACUCUGCGAGAGCCGUGCCAAGGAGCAGGUGCUGCAAAAUUCAGCUUCUGCCAACUCUGGAGAAAAUUGCACUGAUGGAGAUCAGCAUCUCUCAAGGGAAAAUUAAAUCUCCAAAAUGAGUGUCCGAGCUGGAACAAGAAACAGAUGCCAGAAAUAUGUCCAGUAGCUCAGUUUGGAGUUUCCCUCCCUCUCAGGCUGAUCCCUCAAGGCAGCGUGGUGUCCUCAAGGACUGAAACCUGGAGUUGUUUCCACAGGGGACAGAAAUAACAGAAAGGAUCAAAUAGGACCCAGCCACGAUGAUCUGGAGCUGAGUGAGCAGCAGCCUGUGUGAUUUCAGCCUCCUCAUCAGGCUGGUUUUACACAUCCUGACUUGAAAAAGUAGGUUUUUCAUCCUUGGAUCUGAAUAGACAAACCUGAGGGGCUCCAUAUUUCCUGCUAAAUUCCAGAUAAGAUCUUUUACUGUUUGAACUUGCAAAGCAGUUUAGGUGUGUGCUUCCCUGCUCCUGCAAAAAGCUUGAUCCACCCCUUCAUUUAGUUGAGUUUGUUUGGAAUGAACAAUGUUCCUCAAGCUGUGAAUGCAAUAGUGGUUUAGCUUAAAAAAAAAAAAAAAAAAAGAAAAAGAAAAAAAAAGAAAAACCUCCCCUGCAAACAGAUGAUGUAAUGCCCAAGCUCCAAGUUUAAACAGUAGCUAAUUUGCCAGGGGAUAAACCAGGGUGAAAUCUGUCAGGAUUCCCAAUUUCCCACAUUCACCAGAGCUUUGUUCUUUCUGCUUUCAAAUGCAGGGUACAUUUGUGUGUCCACACUCUGUGGUUUCCUUCAGCUCCUGCAGCCAAAGAGUUUGUCCAGGGGCAAGAGAAAAUGUUGCUGUAAACCUUUUGUUGCUAUAAACCUUGAUAUGCAUCUUUUUGGUUUUAAGUUUUACUUAGUGACUGAAUUAAACUCCUGAGCCAUCCCUUUGAUGAGCUGCAGCACAGGGUUAUUUAUUGUAGUCUCUUUGCAGGCACGUUCCUUUGGCCAAGCAGGAUUCACUCCCUGCAAGGUCCCUGGGGCACUGCUGGGUGGGAGACUCCUUGUUCUGCAGCUGGUUUGGGCUGCCUGUGGGUUGUUUACUUGGUGUUUGGACUCUCCUCUCCCAGCCAGUUUUGUACAAAACAAGGAACACUUAGUUUUCACACAUUAAAAAAAAAAUAAAAAUUACAUGAGCAGCUUUCUCUGCUGGUGGCAGCUCUGGUCUGUGUAGUGCUUGGUGUCUGCUGACAGGAGGGGACUUUGGCUGGGUGGGGAAGAGGGAGGUUUGGAUCACACUCCCCCUCCUCCUCCCUGGGAUGCUCUGUUUAUUGGAAUUCUUCACUGACCUAUUCCUUUAAUCCUCAACUUUGGCACCAUUUCCCAGGGCUCGUGGUGUAAGCACAGGGCUUUGCCAACCAGCAGGAUGAACCAGGGCACACAGCAGGGUUAGAGACAUCCAGGAGCUGCAGUGUCUGCCUGUGCUGGUGGAGGAGGGAAGAUGUGACACGAGAAAUUGAAGUGACACUUAAAGGAAUCGCUUCCAUCUUCUCUGGCUUUUUCUAUCGAAAAGCAAGAAGUGCCCAUCUUUGAACUUGGAGUAGCUUCAUCUUAAAAGCUGUCCCAGUCUGGGGAGGUCUCAAUCCAAAAGAAGUCUGGUUAUCUGGUGUUUUUCCCCCAAGCAGCAAGUCCUGCUGACUCUCAUCUCUGCUGUAUCUGUUCUGGUGCGCACGACGUGCUGAAUUUAAAUAAAUUGUAGUCUUUGCUAAAUAUCUGUCAAAUAUUGACUUAGUCUGUAGGGUGAGCUGACUAAGCUGAAAUUAAUGGUGUAAUUCCAGCUUGUUUGGCACAGUUGUGGAGCCAGUUUCAUUGCAGAUGGCAGAGGAAAUUAAGAUCUUACCUUGACUGCAGCUCUAGGGGAGGAGAGAGAAGCCUUGGGCUUAUAUGGCAGUAAGGAAGGACUUGGUGGAGACAGAGAGGGUGAGUGUUUUGUAAGGAUAUUGAGGGUGAUAAAAACUCUUCCCAAUGAGUGAGGUCAUAAGACAAAAAUUGAGGUGGUGGUGUUAACUGUGUGCUAUUACAGAUAUCAUGAAAUGAUCUUCCACAUUCUGGUCCCUUGCCAUAGCCCUGGGAUAAUUUUUCUAAAACUACUGAAAAUGAGAUCCAAAAAAUAUAUGAGACAAUCUGGCUGUUGAGGUUUUGGCACAGAUCAACAGCCUCAGUGCUGGUAUCUGCUGGCUUUGUGCAGGUGAACAGCUCCACGUGUUCCUGAGGUGCUGCUGCAAAAUGACAAAGCCCUGACACCUCCAAGCAGGCAAAGAAAUGGAGAUGCAAGGAGGUGUCUAAAGGGAUCCAAGUGAUCCAAAAGAGCUGAUGGCAGAACUGGAGCUAACCCACACAGCUUCCCUCGUGUUUCAGAGCCUGUCCUUCAAACUCCUGGGAAGCUUGUGGGUUUUUGAGGUUAUUUUUGAAAGGUUUGCUGCUGGCAUAAAUGAAUCUUGGAAUUCAAAACAAUAAAGAUGCAGCUUUGGGGCCAGUCCUGCUUGAGGGACUGCAGGGAUCUCAGGGCUGGUACAGUGAAUCUGAUGGAAUUUUAUGUAAAAGGAGAGCUCAUGAGUUGGUUUGGGGUUUUUUCAACACCUUUUUUCUUCACCCCUUAACUCUUUUCUGCAGGUAGUAAGACUUCCAUUGUAACUUUCAGUUUUAUGUGAGCUUUGUGCCUCCAAUCGAUUGGUUCCUGGCUGAUCUUCAAUAGCCCAAAGAGCAAAUGUAAUGCAGCAAAUUCAUUAUAUGCUAAAAUAUUUAUUGUGUUACUGUAAAGGUCACUGAUGGCAGCAGAGGCUCAGUAGGAUACAGUCCUGAAUCUUUCCAAAGAUGGUAUCUAUCACCACUCUCUUUUGAGAGCAGUGUCUUAAAAAGUACCUGGAAUAACUCAGACCAUGCUUUUGUGUUUGGACCUUGUGUAGGUUAAUAAAUGACUCUUGUGCUGCAUCUGAAAGUGAACAGCUGUAUUUAAUUUUCUCAUGUGUACUCCACAGAUGUGGAGGGCAGAGAAAGAAAGGAAACUUAGAACUUAGUUUCAUUUUGUCCCUUUUGGCUUGAUUUAAGUAAUUUGCAGUGUUGUAUAAUAAAAUCUCCACAUCUGAUUUUUA